CCUACGGGUGGCAGCAGUAGGGAAUCUUCCACAAUGGGCGCAAGCCUGAUCGAGCAACACCGCGUGAGUGAAGACUGGUUUCGGCUCGUAAAGCUCUGUUGUUGGAGAAGAACGUGCGUGCGAGUAACUGUUUACGUAGUUACGGUAUCCAACCAGAUCGGCACGGCUAACUACGGGCCAGCAGCCGCGGUAAUACGGAGGUGGCGAGCGUUGUCCGGUUUUACUGGGAGUAAAGGGCGCGUAGACGGGCUGACAAGUCAGUUGUGAAAGUUCGGGGCUCAACCCGGGAACUGCAUUUGAUACUGUCAGUCUUGAGGAUCGGUGAGGCAGGCGGAAUUCCUGGUGUAGCGGUGAAAUGCGUAGAUAUUAGGAGGAACACCAGUGGCGAAGGCGGCCUACUGGACGACCACUGACAGUGAGGCGCGAAAGCGUGGGGAGCAAACAGGAUUAGAUACCCCAGUAGUC
rnacentral:rRNA from 1 species